rnacentral:rRNA from 1 species
GACGAACGCUGGCGGCGUGCUUAACACAUGCAAGUCGAACGGAAAGGCCCUGCUUUUGUGGGGUGCUCGAGUGGCGAACGGGUGAGUAACACGUGAGUAACCUGCCCUUGACUUUGGGAUAACUUCAGGAAACUGGGGCUAAUACCGGAUAGGAGCUCCUGCUGCAUGGUGGGGGUUGGAAAGUUUCGGCGGUUGGGGGUGGACUCGCGGCUUAUCAGCUUGUUGGUGGGGUAGUGGCUUACCAAGGCUUUGGCGGGUAGCCGGCCUGAGAGGGUGACCGGCCACAUUGGGACUGAGAUACGGCCCAGACUCCUACGGGAGGCAGCAGUGGGGACUAUUGCACAAUGGGCGGAAGCCUGAUGCAGCAACGCCGCGUGCGGGAUGACGGCCUUCGGGUUGUAAACCGCUUUCGCCUGUGACGAAGCGUGAGUGACGGUAAUGGGUAAAGAAGCACCGGCUAACUACGUG